ACAGUAGUUUCGGCGAGUUUCAUCGCGUGCUUCUUCGUUACGGUGCCCCUUUGGGCCUGUAAAUCGAAUCUAUUUUGGUGGACUUUGACCUGAUACAAUUUUGUUAAUAGAAUCCUUCUCUACAUGCUCUGUUUUAGUGCGGCGCUCAAGGAAUAAUACGGCUUAAGGGUUUUGCUGCAACACUUAGAGGGGAUUUAUCGCUACGGCGUGCGUUUUUGAGAUAGUGUUGGCUUGUAGUAAAUAAUUUAUACUUUUUCUUAGGUGUACAGGUCUCCUUUUUUGUUUUUAUAAUCAGUACACACUCAGAUUUUACGAAGACGACGCCGUAUGGAUUUUUCUGGAUGCGGACACGAGAACGCUGGGAGAGGAGUGCAGUACAAGCAAAUUGCACUUGUUAGGGAAGUUUUGUCGUGGUUUCCCCGUCUUCCGAUUGAGUCGGUUUUUAUAUUUUUCUUAUAAUGGUUCCAACUUUUAAAAAUUCGGGCAGAGAUAUCUCCAGGCAGCAUUCCUCCAGCUGGAAGUCUUAUUCCUGGGCAUCUUCUAAAUCGUUCAGAACUUCGAUCUUAGUGGAGGACACGAAGUCUCGGAACACUAAUGUUGGAUUCGGCUAUUUCUUCAUCACAACUGAGUACUUGUCAUGCCAAACUGAAGCCGAUCACAAGAGGUGGUGCACGUACCAGGAUGAAAACUUGGCGUUCCGGUUGGAGGUAGUCAACCGGAGAUGUGUUUGACAAAUAUAUUAUUCCACAUGAGGGAUGGAAUAAAAGCUCGUCUCCCCAGACAUUUUGUGUCUAAUCCAGGUCGCCUGCCGUCCUGUGUACCCCAACGUCUUCAAUUAGCGUUUUGCUCUAAGCUUGUAGAAGCUCUGACGCGCGAAAUGGAGAUUUCCCCAAGACGAUAAUCGCAUCGAAAGUCGAUGCAUCUUUGACCCAAGUACUAACUCACAGUGCUGUUUGGAUGACUGAUGUUUUUCUGGCUGAAAAUUAUCAACAAUCACUUUGUUGUGAAGUUCUUGUUCCUGUAUCAUGCGUCUGGAUUCUUUAUCAAUGAUUCAUGUGAGCUCUCGCAUCGCGCUUGAUAUCAGAAACUGAAACAAUUGGUGAUGACGGCUGGGGUGCAACCCCAGUAGACAAUGAUGCUUCAGCAGGUAUGCCUGCUCCUGACUAUCCUUCUCUUUCUGAACUUAGUUUUUGAAUUUUCUUAUCUGAUUCUCUCUUUUGACUGGUGGAUCCACACAUACAGUUUUAUAUACAUUUUCUCUACAUUAGGAAAACAGUUUAGUCACAUUUGUAGAGUAGCAAAUUUUUUAUGUCCAUAUUCGUUUAGCUUUUUGUAAAUGCUGUCGUCCAUUCUGCUAUAAUUUGAUGUUACAGCUACUCACUUCAGCAUUUGUACUACUGCUGACAGUAAGAAGUCCUGAACUUGACAAGGGGAAUGAACGUUUUAGGAUAUGUCAGGGUUUCGAUCUAACAUGCAGACCACGACAGUUAUCUCAUAUUAGUUCUUUCAAUGACUGGAGCGUUGAGGUUGAGAUAUAUCCCUUCCAUAUCAGAUGUGCAGUGAAUGAUUUUGAAGCGACCAAGACAAAUUUGGAAGUAAACUAUCUUAUGGACUGUUCGUAUAGAUGAGCCCAAAUCCUCCUCAAGCUUGCCAGUUUCAAAAUGCUAUUUAGCAAAGAAGAAUAUGUUGAUCAUUCAUGAAUUUUAAGUCUUCUUUCGUGCAGUUUUUUUAUGUUUAGCGAACGCAUUUGUUGAUACCACUGAAUUCAGACCUUUCAAGUGCGUGGGAAGUUAUUGUUUGAAGCACUCUGUCUGAUUGGAGCAAGCCACUCCAAAUCGAGAGUGUGGAGCACUGGGAUGAUACUGGUGGGAAUGCUAGCUCACAAGUUCUCAUGUUCAGGGAAAUUCAGCACUCUUUGAAUUGCUUCUGCAACAUCACUCUCUGAAAAUCUCUCACAGGUACCACCUAUAAUGUUGACAUUCUCAAUGAAACAUCAAUGUCCACGCGGACCGUUGGAAUUGGUGUUUGGAAAUCCCAAAAUUCUGAAACAUGACUACGAAUGAAUGAGGAACGCGCGGCCUUUAUCUUUUGGACAAAAGCGUGAUAGCAAGUAACCUAUCUGUGUGUUCCAAAGAACUCAGCAAGGUCGGCAGUUAGCACUGCAGACGUGAAUGCUACUUUUCGUUACUAUGUUGUUUUGUUGAGUAAAUUUGGUCAAUUGUCAGGCUUUUUGCUUCUUGGAACCUUAGAACACUCAAUCCCAGCCAUGAAGAAAUCAUUCCUUGCACCACGCAGAUAUCUAUUAUCGCAAUGUUGAGUACGAGAAUGAAAAUAUGAAUGAUCUGGAGAAGUAUGCAUAAGUUGACAUUCAUUUUGAAUUCUGUAACCGCAAUAUUGUGACAAUCUACAAUUCGCAUUUCCUGGUACAAAUCAAUGCAUACUUAUCAAAUUCACAUACUGACUAUUACGUAUUGUUGUCGCAGAUUGAAUCGUGAAGCUUUCAUGAAAUUUUAAAUUGAUUUCCCUCCAUAUGCCUUUGAAGAAGUCCUCGAAUCACUUUUAGCAACCUUGCGUACAUUACUCACCUCAACUCUUGGUGUUUUCUGUGCGUAGUACACAACCCUGUCAACUUGUGUGGCCUGACUGGGGUCAUGCACUUGGUUAAGUGUUUGUUCUGAUAUUUGGUCCAUCGUGAAAGAGUUUUUAUCAGUUGGAGGUUUGUGUAUUCCAUCAACAUUUGAGUGUGCCUUGCUCACAUGGGUGGACUUUGAUAACUACACUUGAAAUGUCUCAAGUAUAAGAAUUUCCUCUUGUUACCAUCCCGACUCUGGUUUUUCUAACCCAACUGGUCACCUCCCCAUUGUGCAUCAAACGGACUCCACUCUACCAAAGAGAAUUAGUAACUUGCUUCACAGCCCUACUGGAGCAACUUAUAAGUUGCAACAGAAUAGACUUUCAGUGUAAAAAUCAUUUUAUUUUACAAGCUCUGGUGUGAGUAGGAACAAUUUACAAUGCUAUGCAAAGUUUGUUCCUAGAAACCACUAAAAUUCAACGUA